rnacentral:rRNA from 1 species
CACGUAGGCACCAAGCGUUGUCCGGAUUUAUUGGGCGUAAAGAGCUCGUAGGCGGUUCGGUAAGUCGGGUGUGAAAACUCUGGGCUCAACCCAGAGCCGCCACCCGAUACUGCUGUGACUUGAGUUCGGUAGGGGAGCGGGGAAUUCCUGGUGUAGCGGUGAAAUGCGCAGAUAUCAGGAGGAACACCAGUGGCGAAGGCGCCGCUCUGGGCCGAGACUGACGCUGAUGCGCGAAAGCCCAGGGGAGCAAACGGG